rnacentral:sRNA from 1 species
UUUUUGCGUUAGGGAUUGCAGAGGAAAUCCUUUUUGAGAGGAACGAACAAAAAGAUUGGAACGGAAAGCCCGACCCUUU